UGCACCGAAGCUGCGGCAGCGACACUCAGGUGUUGUUGGGUAGGGGAGCGUUCUGUAAGCCUGCGAAGGUGGCCUGUGAGGGUUGCUGGAGGUAUCAGAAGUGCGAAUGCUGACAUAAGUAACGAUAAAGCGGGUGAAAAGCCCGCUCGCCGGAAGACCAAGGGUUCCUGUCCAACGUUAAUCGGGGCAGGGUGAGUCGACCCCUAAGGCGAGGCCGAAAGGCGUAGUCGAUGGGAAACGGGUUAAUAUUCCCGUACUUGGUGUUACUGCGAAGGGGGGACGGAGAAGGCUAUGUUGGCCGGGCGACGGUUGUCCCGGUUUAAGCGUGUAGGUGUGUGUUCCAGGUAAAUCCGGUUCACUUUAACACUGAGGCGUGACGACGAGGCACUACGGUGCUGAAGCAACAAAUGCCCUGCUUCCAGGAAAAGCCUCUAAGCAUCAGGUAACAUCAAAUCGUACCCCAAACCGACACAGGUGGUCAGGUAGAGAAUACCAAGGCGCUUGAGAGAACUCGGGUGAAGGAACUAGGCAAAAUGGUGCCGUAACU
rnacentral:rRNA from 1 species